rnacentral:rRNA from 1 species
UACGUAGGUGGCAAGCGUUGUCCGGAUUUAUUGGGCGUAAAGCGAGCGCAGGCGGAAAGAUAAGUCUGAUGUGAAAGCCUUCGGCUUAACCGAAGAAGUGCAUCGGAAACCGGGCAACUUGAGUGCAGAAGAGGACAGUGGAACUCCAUGUGUAGCGGUGAAAUGCGUAGAUAUUAGGAGGAACACCAGUGGCGAAGGCGGCCUACUGGACGGUGACUGACGCUGAGGCUCGAAAGCGUGGGGAGCAAACAGG